rnacentral:misc_RNA from 1 species
GGACAUCCUGGACUAUGAGAUCAUGAAGAGGAUGAACAGAGGUUCUACUGCAGAGGGCUAUGUUUACUACUUUGUUAUCCAUGAUGUUUUAAAGUUUUAAAAAUCUUAUAAUAUGAUGGAAGAUUUUUGUUUUAUGAGUUGCAAUAAUCUAUAUUUCCUGUUUUAUUCUAUUCUGGUUGCUUGUUGGAGAUAUGAUAAUGCCAAUCCAAUUUUGGAAUUCAUAUUGCUAUCUGCAUAUAUAGAGAGAACUAUAAUGCUUUUAGCUAUUAAAAUAAU